rnacentral:lncRNA from 12 species
GAGCCCCAUUUUGUACAAAUGUGAGGGGGCAGUGGGAGGUGACCAGGCAUCUCUGUAUUUCAUGUUGGACCAGCUUCUACCAUUUACCACGUGAGCUGGGGACCAGUUACUUUCUCCAACUCUCAGUUUCUUUAUCUGUGAGGUAGGGAGAGACCUCAUGGUGCCCUUGUCAAGACCAAAUGAGGAUGGGUGUACAAUGUUAGUAAGCAGUCCUGAUAUCUGUGGUGUGAUUGCUGACCGGCAACCCCUCAGCGUUCACUGAACACAAACUGAUGUCAGAACAAGUUCUAGCUCCUGUGUCAUGGAAUCGCCAAGUGCAUCUGUGGUUCCCAUGCUGCCAUCUGUUCAAGGUCCUGGAGACUUGCACGUCAGCCUCUGGAGGCAGGCAGACCAGGGAAACUCCUUGGAUUCCUCUGCUGGACUCUGCUCAUCUGUUAGGAUGGUCUUCCAGUUUGGCACCUCCACUCCUAACCCGGAUGCAUUGCCUCUUUUUGGAGUCAUGGGCACCCACCACUCACCCCUUUGAUGUCUGUCAAUCUUAGGCUUGGCUUUGGCUCCUUCAGCCCUUACUGGGUGAGGGUCUCAGGCAAGUCUGCCCUUCUGUUUCCUUAUUGCAUAGUAGGGAUGACAAUGCUUGCUUCUACAGGGUGUGUGUGUGUGUGGGGGCACUGGUAGAGGUGGUGGAAAUUCAGCAAGGUAACGCCAAUACAGUGCUGGGUACAUUGAUCAACCUGGGGCCCACCCGUGAUCGCAUAAGCCUGGGAGCCACUCAUGGGUCCUUUCCCUUUGGGAGCCACUCAGAGCCAUGGACAGAGGGAGGGGCUGCUGUAAUUAGCAGACCAGCAACCACUGCUGUAGGAAAUUCUAGUCCCUGGCAGAGGCCGAUUUGUAGGGAGCUCUUUAGAUUCCAAUUCGAACCUUCUCCUGCCGUGUAAGCCCCUUAUCCUUAGCUUGGUGCUCUCUCAUGCUGUGCUGAGAUCAUGCAAAAUUAUUCAACUAAAAUCAUCCAGCAGGAAAAGCAACCGAGCAAUCACAGUUCACUGCUGAGAAGCCAUGGCCUUAACCCAGGCUGGGCAGCAGGAGCUCAGCAGGGCUGAGAGGCCAGCUUGUUUCAGUGUUUUCCAGAGAUGGGAAUGCAGGCCCCGCUGGGCUCCUCUCCUCCAGCAGGUGCUUAGCAGCGAGCCCCAGGACUGAGUGGCCAGAGAGUCUGGAUCCACUUCAGCAUCAGGCAUUAUGGGUGACCCCAGGCUUUCCUGAGCCCCUGCUCUGCCAGUUGGAGUUGCUGGUAUGAGCUAAGGAGUUUGGAGUUCACAGCCAUUGCUCCUGGGCCCAGAGUAGCAUGUCCCCUCUUGGAGUCUUGAGGGCAAUGGGGAAAAGAGAUAGAGGAAGAAAUGAGGGUUAAGAAUAAGAGCAGGAAGAGAGAGGAAGAGGACAGGUACAGGAGGAUAUCCAGGAAUAUUGUCCGUGGGAGUACAUUUAGGCAUAUCUGGGUGCUGGGCCUUGCUUAUAGGGUACUGUGUAUCUCUCCAUCCAUACCUGGAG